UGUUUAGUUCCGAUGCAAAGACCCUAUAAGUGAAUCAAUAUUAACGCCAAAAUAUGCAAUCUUUAAUGACCUGACAACAGUAUCGUAACUAUAUCCCUUCUUAAUGAGUCUAUUCAAAGGUUUUGUUAGUUUUUGAGGUGAAUACUGACAUUUUUGUGCUUUAUAAAGAAUAUUUCCAUAAAAAAUUGGAUGUGAAAUACCUACACG
rnacentral:lncRNA from 1 species